rnacentral:misc_RNA from 1 species
GAUGAAGAACGUAGCGAAAUGCGAUAAGUAAUGUGAAUUGCAGAAUUCAGUGAAUCAUCGAAUCUUUGAACGCACAUUGCGCCCGCCAGUAUUCUGGCGGGCAUGCCUGUUCGAGCGUCAUUACAACCCUCAGGCCCCCGGGCCUGGCGUUGGGGAUCGGCGGAAGCCCCCUGUGGGCACACGCCGUCCCUCAAAUACAGUGGCGGUCCCGCCGCAGCUUCCAUUGCGUAGUAGCUAACACCUCGCAACUGGAGAGCGGCGCGGCCAUGCCGUAAAACACCCAACUUCUGAAUGUUGACCUCGAAUCAGGUAGGAAUACCCGCUGAACUUAAGCAUAUCUAAGCGGAGGA